AAUCAACGCUGGCGGCGUGCCUAACACAUGCAAGUCGAGCGCGAAAGGGGAGCAAUCCCAAGUAGAGCGGCGAACGGGUGAGUAACGCGUGGGUAAUCUGCCUCCGAGUGGGGAACAACACCGGGAAACUGGUGCUAAUACCGCAUGACAUCGUUGGACCUUCGGAUCUGACGAUCAAAGCCGGGGACCGCAAGGCCUGGCGCUUGGAGAGGAGCCCGCGUCCGAUUAGCAGUUGGUGGGGUAAUGGCCCACCAAGGCUACGAUCGGUAGCCGGCCUGAGAGGGCGGACGGCCACACUGGGACUGAGACACGGCCCAGACUCCUACGGGAGGCAGCAGUGGGGAAUUUUCGCAAUGGGCGAAAGCCUGACGAAGCAACGCCGCGUGGAGGAUGAAGGCC
rnacentral:rRNA from 1 species